rnacentral:lncRNA from 1 species
GGAAUUUUGUUGAAAGCACCUAGUGAUUGUGAUUGUCUAACGCAUUAUUAUACUUAUUAUUAUUAUAUUGUAUUUGUGGGGAAUAACGGAUGUAUGUAACGCACAGAAGGAAACGUUUCCGACCCCAAAUAGUAUAUAUAUUCUUGAUCAGCAUUAAUAGCCGAGUCUAUGUCUCUCUGUCCGUCUGUCCGUCCGUCUUGUUGAGCGCCUGGAUCUCAGAGACCAUAAAAGCUAGAGCCACCAAAUUUUGCAUCCCGACUUCUGUAUGCUCACACUGUUACAAGUGUAUUUAAAAAAUGAGCACCGCCCCUAAACCCACCCUGUCGCGCAGCUUUUGUUGCUUGUUUCACAUUCUCUCAUUCACCGCGUCUCUGCCUCUGCCUCUGCCAUGACUCUGCAGUGUGUGGCUCUAAGGAAGGGUGGCGAGCUAAAGCAGCGUGUUGGCGUGAGAAGUGUUGUGAUGUAGAUGACAGAUGAAAAAAAAUUUUAAAUUUGACAAAAAAAACGCUAAGGUACAGAUGUAGUACUGAGUGCAGGGUAUAAAAGUUUUGACGCGUAAGAAGCGUCUCACACGUCCCUUUUCGUUUUGAUUUACCAAUUAGCAGUCGACUUGUAAGAAUCUCUGACGAAAUGGCUUUGUUUUCGACUGAACUCCGAGCAGGGAUGUGCGAAAAGUGGUCGAGGCAGUUUCACAUGCUGUACACCUUGAUAGAGCAUCUCGGACUCGUAGGUCUCAAUAAAGAGUCAAAUUGAUCGGAGUGUUUACAUUGCCAAUUCUCAGGUGCAACAUUUAUAAAUACUAAGUACUAAUAAAAUUAAUUGGACAUAAAGGUGUGAAUAUUCAUUAUACACUACUCUGUACGUGGGCUUUUCGCGGGUCCGUCCGUGAAAUGCCUGGAGAGCACGUGUCCACCACGAGAAUAGCUUCCCGUUCUAUGUGUGGUCUCUUUAUUAUUCAGGCAGGUUGAGCUAUCUAAUCUUCCAAUUAGUUUUCAGCACAACAUCAAAGUUUAUGGAACAGGUUCACAUCCAUCAAACAUGAAAUAGUUCAAUAAAACUUAACUUUUCAUUUUUUCAAACCAAUUUCAGUUUUAAUGCCAGAACUGAAUGCAUAUUUCAUUUUCUGCGACUGCUACGUUUACUGCUGACUGCUGCAAGAACCGGCAAGAUUUAUUCGAAAUAAAAUCUGAAUUUCUCGACCGGGAAUCCGAUAUGCAAAUAAAUGCAAAUUAGCUCUCGGGAACACCCGAAAAUCGUUGUUUUUGUCGACAAAGUUCAGCGGCUUGGGGCUCUGGCGCCACGAAUGUUGCUUACCUUGCACGAGAAAGUAGCUGACCUUGACGGCAUUCGGAGUAUUCGGAGACUACCCUGCUAGAAAGCGGAUCAGCGGCUGCAGAGGGGGCGGGACACCUAUCUAAUUACGGACGGAGG